rnacentral:rRNA from 1 species
GAUGAACGCUGGCGGCGUGCCUAAUACAUGCAAGUCGAGCGAACGGAUGAGAAGCUUGCUUCUCUGAUGUUAGCGGCGGACGGGUGAGUAACACGUGGAUAACCUACCUAUAAGACUGGGAUAACUUCGGGAAACCGGAGCUAAUACCGGAUAAUAUUUUGAACCGCAUGGUUCAAAAGUGAAAGACGGUCUUGCUGUCACUUAUAGAUGGAUCCGCGCUGCAUUAGCUAGUUGGUAAGGUAACGGCUUACCAAGGCAACGAUGCAUAGCCGACCUGAGAGGGUGAUCGGCCACACUGGAACUGAGACACGGUCCAGACUCCUACGGGAGGCAGCAGUAGGGAAUCUUCCGCAAUGGGCGAAAGCCUGACGGAGCAACGCCGCGUGAGUGAUGAAGGUCUUCGGAUCGUAAAACUCUGUUAUUAGGGAAGAACAUAUGUGUAAGUAACUGUGCACAUCUUGACGGUACCUAAACAGAAAGCCACGGCUAACUACGUG